CCCCUUUCAUCGCGUCGCCGUAGUUCCUAUAUAUAUUCCGUCGAGCAAUCGACUAUGACGCUAGAGAGCGCUGCGGAAUAAGCGUUGUGGACCCGGGGGCAGUACCCGGCGCCUCCACCAAUUCGCCGGGAUCGGAACCGACCAUCUUCCAGAUCCCGGCCUCAUGGGGGCGAACCAGGAUCGACACGCGUAGUAAAGGCAGAUGUUCGCGUUCGGCAUGGUACCGCCGAUAUCGGGCCAAAUCGCUAAAUGCGAACGAUAACGACGAGAUGGUUGCUGUCGCUGCGUAAGCAGUCUCGGUAACGAAGUCGGAAUUCCUAGGGGACUCAUCCUCUCCUAGGUGGGGCUUGGGGGACCCAGCAACAGAACCCCCCACU
rnacentral:tmRNA from 1 species